rnacentral:lncRNA from 1 species
GCUUAAAGAAGGCCUUAAUCAAACUACUGAAAAAAAAGUUAAUAACUUUCCUAUUGGUAGUAGGUCAUUAGUAAUGAAACUAGUAAGCGGAUUGUGAAUCCAUGAAUAUUUGAGUCGGAAGACUCAUAAAAAAAGUAGAAUAUCCGAUGGACGGACAAGAGAUUCUUUUGAACAAGUUAUUAUAAUAAGAAAAUCUUAUAAUGUAUCUUGAAACUAGUUCAUCAAAUUGAUGAUAAAGUAUAUAGACAUUCCAGUUGGCAUUAUGCAAUUGUUACCCAACAACCCCUUAAAGGAAGACCCAAACAAAGGGAACAAUAGGUAGAAGAACUAGUGACAUGACCCGCCCCGACCUACAUGUCUGAUUUGAGGCGAAUCGUGCGGACUAAUAGCUAAAACUUGUGGCACGAAUUUAAUUCAUGAAAAUAUGUAUAUAAUAUGGCCUUUCCUAUAAACACAUAACCACCUCUGUGCCUUUUCUGAAAUCAUAAAUGUAUUCAAAACUUGCAUAACUUAUGUCUCAUUGUACAUACCGACAUUACAUGUAUAUGUGCAUAUAAAACAUAAGCAACAUAAACGUGCUCAAAAUGCAAGACAUGCAGCAAUGCGUCUCGUGGCCCAACCUCAAUUAACUAGAACUGAUUUGGACGAAAUUCUGCGGAAUCCUAGGAGGAAAGGGGUAAAUAGAAAAAUAGUGAGCUUGCGGCUCAGUGAGUGGAUGUAAUUAUAUAUUAAAAAUAUUAAUAGUAAUAAUUAUAAUAAAAUAUGUGUACUAGUUCUUAUACAUAAUCAUGCAACAUAACUCCACAUUGAAUACCACACAUCAGCAAUCGGGAUCAUCAUCGCACAAGUAGAGCAGAGGAAAAACCUCUCAAUACCCUGCGGAAUUUAGCUACAUCGCUCGAAUAGAGUAACCUAACUCUCAAUACGCAUGCGUAGAGUCUAGGGGGAUAGGUACAUAUAUGGUAACUGACAAUCACAUCUCAUGACUCAAUCAAACAAAUAAUAUGCGUACAUAUAAUCAUAACAUGAUAUUAAAUCAUAAUAUCAAACAUAAAUUCUGCACAUAAUACAUAAUAGUAAUAAUAAUAUCCACUCACAAAUCCUGUUUCACUUUGAGGUUCAUUGGGGCUCUUGUAGGUUCUUGGAUUCUCGAGUUCCUCCUAAAAUACAGGGUUCGAAAAUUAACUGUUAGAACUGAUAUAAAAACUUAUACGUAGCAUGUAAAUUGUAACAUAACCGCUCAAAUUUCAUAAAUCUAUUACCCACUGAUCCAAUGGAUAUAAUUCUAACUAUCCAAUUCUAUUUUCUGUAACUUUUCUUUUCAAUUUCUCUCUUCCCCACUCUCGGCUUAUUCCUUUUCCUUCCUCCUUUUCUUUUCUUCUUUUCUUUUUUUCUUUUCCUUCUCUUUUCUCUCGGUUUCUCUUCUUUUCUUCUCUCGGUCUUGCUUUGUUUUUGCUCUCGGUUCUCAAAUUUAGUAAAUGAAGCAAUUCUCAAAAUGUUUCAUUUUAU